CACACGAGUUUGAUCCUGGCUCAGGAUGAACGCUGGCGGCGUGCCUAAUACAUGCAAGUCGAACGAGGUGCUUUUUGUAGCAAUACGAGGAGUAUCCUAGUGGCGAACGGGUGAGUAACGCGUGGGUGACCUACCCCAAAGUGUGGAAUAACAGUCCGAAAGGAUUGCUAAUGCCGCAUGUGGUCUGCGAGUUUAGAAAUCGUUGACUAAAGGAGCAAUUCGCUUUGGGAGGGACCUGCGUCCCAUCAGCUAGUUGGUGAGGUAACGGCUCACCAAGGCGACGACGGGUAGGGGACCUGAGAGGGUGGCCCCCCACAAUGGAACUGAAACACGGUCCAUACACCUACGGGUGGCAGCAGUAGGGAAUAUUGCACAAUGGGCGAAAGCCUGAUGCAGCAACGCCGCGUGCGCGAUGAAGGUCUUCGGAUCGUAAAGCGCUUUUCUGAGAGAUGAGAAAGGACAGUAUCUCAGGAAUAAGUCUCGGCUAACUACGUG
rnacentral:rRNA from 1 species